rnacentral:tRNA from 1 species
GGAGGGAUGGCCGAGAGGCUGAAGGCGCUCCCCUGCUAAGGGAGUAUGGGCCUAUAAAGCCCAUCGAGGGUUCGAAUCCCUCUCUCUCCG